rnacentral:rRNA from 1 species
GACGAACGCUGGCGGCGUGCUUAACACAUGCGAGUCGAACGCUGAAGCUCAGCUUUUGUUGGGUGGAUGAGUGGCGAACGGGUGAGUAACACGUGAGUAACCUGCCUCCUUCUUUGGGAUAACGCCCGGAAACGGGUGCUAAUACUGGAUAUUCACUGGUCUUCGCAUGGGGGUUGGUGGAAAGGGUUUUUCUGGUGGGGGAUGGGCUCGCGGCCUAUCAGCUUGUUGGUGGGGUGAUGGCCUACCAAGGCUUUGACGGGUAGCCGGCCUGAGAGGGUGACCGGUCACAUUGGGACUGAGAUACGGCCCAGACUGCUACGGGAGGCAGCAGUGGGGAAUAUUGCACAAUGGGCGCAAGCCUGAUGCAGCGACGCCGCGUGAGGGAUGGAGGCCUUCGGGUUGUGAACCUCUUUCGCUCAUGGUCAAGCCGCAACAAUGGUUGUGGUGAGGGUAGUGGGUAAAGAAGCGCCGGCUAACUACGUG